GGGCUCACACAAGCGGUGGAGCAUGUGGAUUAAUUCGAAGCAACGCGCAGAACCUUACCUAGGUUUGACAUGCUUGGAUGCCAAUCUGGAAACAGAGGAAGCUGCCUUCGGGUGAAACUUGCACAGGUGCUGCAUGGCUGUCGUCAGCUCGUGUCGUGAGAUGUCGGGUUAAGUCCUUUAACGAGCGAAACCCUUGCCGUUAGUUGCCAGCGGGUCAUGCCGGGAACUCUAACGGGACUGCCGGUGUUAAACCGGAGGAAGGUGGGGAUGACGUCAAGUCAUCAUGGCCUUUAUGCCUAGGGCUUCACACGUGCUACAAUGGCGGCAACAAAGCGACGCAAGACCGCGAGGUGGAGCAAAUCGCAAAAAUGUCGCCCCAGUUCGGAUUGUAGGCUGGCAACUCGCCUGCAUGAAGUUGGAAUCGCUAGUAAUCGCGGAUCAGCUAUGCCGCGGUGAAUGUGUUCCUGAGCCUU
rnacentral:rRNA from 1 species